rnacentral:sRNA from 1 species
UAACUGAAGAGAAACCA